AGCAGUGUGGCUCAGUGGAAAGAGCACGGGCUUGGGAGUCAGAGGUCAUGAGUUCGAAUCUCUGCUCUGCCA
rnacentral:tRNA from 1 species